rnacentral:rRNA from 1 species
CACGUAGGGCGCAAGCGUUGUCCGGAAUUAUUGGGCGUAAAGAGCUCGUAGGCGGUCUGUUGCGUCUGCUGUGAAAACCCGGGGCUUAACCCCUGGCUUGCAGUGGAUACGGACAGACUAGAGGUAGGUAGGGGAGAAUGGAAUUCCCGGUGUAGCGGUGAAAUGCGCAGAUAUCGGGAGGAACACCGGUGGCGAAGGCGGGUCUCUGGACAGUUCCUGACGCUGAGGCACGAAGGUCAGGGGAGCGAACAGG